rnacentral:piRNA from 1 species
UCCACCAGAUUUCCUGCACAGGCAGAUAGG